rnacentral:rRNA from 1 species
GGAUACUGCUAUCGGAUUUCGACUAAGCCAUGCAAGUUUUGCGGUCCGAGUGUUGGACCGCAGCGUACGGCUCAGUAACACGUAGUCAACCUACCCUAGUGACGGGGACAACCUUGGGAAACUGAGGGUAAUUCCCGAUAGGCCAGGGAGUCUGGAACGACUCCUGGCUCAAACGGGCGCGCGGAUUGCAGCGCGUACCGCUCUAGGAUGGGACUGCGGCUGAUUAGCUAGUUGGUGGGGUAACGGCCCACCAAGGCGAUAAUCAGUAGGGGCUAUGAGAGUAGGAGCCCCGAGACGGGCACUGAGACAAGGGCCCGAGCCCUACGGGGUGCAGCAGGCGCGAAACUUCCGCAAUGCGCGAAAGCGUGACGGGGGGAAUCCGAGUGAUAGCCUAACGGUCAUCUUUUACCAAGCUUGAAGCGCAUGGGGAAUAAGGGGUGGGUAAAUCCUGUGCCAGCCGCCGCGGUAACACAGGUAGCCCGAGUGGUGUCCACGAAUAUUGAGCUUAAAGCGUCCGUAGCCGGUUUGGCAAGUUUCCUGUGAAAUCUCUUGGCUCAAACCAAGAGGCGUGCAGGGAAUACUACCAGGCUAGGGAGUGGGGGAGGUCAGAGGUACACUAGGGGGAGCGGUAAAAUGCUGUAAUCCUUGUGGACCACCAGUGGCGAAGGCGUCUGACCAAAACACGUCCGACGGUGAGGGACGAAGGCUAGGGGAGCAAAUCGGAUUAGAUACCCGAGUAGUCCUAGCUGUAAAUGAUGCAAACUAGGCGUUGCACUUGCCUUGAGCGGGUGCAGUGCCGUAGGGAAACCGUUUAGUUUGCCGCUUGGGGAGUACGGUCGCAAGGCUUAAACUUAAAGGAAUUGGCGGGGGAACACCACAAGCCGUGGAUGCUGCGGUUCAAUUGGAUUCAACGCCGGGAAACUCACCAAGAGAGACGGCAGAAUGAGGCUCAAGCUAACGACUUUAGCCGACAAGCCGAGAAGUGUUGCAUGGCCAGCGUCAGUUCGUGCCGUGAGGUGUCAGGUUAAGUCCUGAAACGAACGAGAUCCCCGUUCACAGUUGCUAACUUCGGAGCGAUCCGGGGUGCACUCUGUGAAGACUGCCCGUGUUAAGCGGGAGGAAGGAGGGGGCGACGCUAGGUCUGUAUGGCCCGAAUCUCUUGGGCCACACGUGGCAUACAAUGGCCCAGACAAUGGGCUCCGACGCCGAAAGGCGAAGGCAAUCUCCGAAACUGGGUCUAAGUUCAGAUUGCGGGCUGAAACUCGUCCGCAUGAAGCUGGAAUGGCUAGUAAUCGCGCGUCAUCAUCGCGCGGUGAAUAUGUCCCUGUUCCUUGCACACACCGCCCGUCAAGCCAUCCAAGCUUGGUUUUAGUGAGGCUUCCGUGAUGAGCGAAAGUCGAG